AUAUUUCACUUGGGCAGCACACAUACUAAAAUUGGAAUGAUACAGAGAAGAUUAGCAUGGCCCCUGCACAAGGAUGGCACACAGAUUCAUGAAGUGUUACAAAAUUUU
ensembl:snRNA U6 U6 spliceosomal RNA